UUGUGUUUAUGUGUUCGGAGAAUGCAAAUCCAUUUAUCGUAAUCAUUUGAUAUUUUGGUAAUUAGAGAAUGCCGAUUCUGAUCUGAGUACCCUAAAACUCAAGGAUCAUUAAAAUUCCAGCUAAAGCUGCACUGAUGGAAUAAAUUUACAUAUUUGGGGCAAGCGCAAAAGGGAUUUCAUAUAUUAAUACAAAACUAACGAAAGGUUUUAUCUUUUUAGUUUAAGUUUCGAAAUUGAAAAUGAUAAAAAAUUUCCUCUUAAUAAUUUUCUUUGUGUAUUUUGCGAGGCAUGAAACCACAUCUUCUCUUCUCGAGGAGGCCACCACAUCAAUAAAUGUUGACCUUUUGAAGUAUGGAAUCGCCUGCAAGUUGGAAUGGGUUAACCACACGAGAGGAAAGCAACUACCUUCCAACAUCAUUUAUAUGUCCUCGUCUAUCUCUGGACUCAGAAUUGACCAUACGCAAACCAAUGAGAAAAUGGCUAUAGUACGGACAACACUAUUUGGUAAAACGGCCUCCGGUACCCUUAAAAAUGAUGGAAUCGCCUACUUUUACUCGGAUAAGGAAGGUUCCAUAGUGCAAAAGAAUAAUUAUGCAGUCCUAACAAAUCCAAACAAGUGCUUCCUGGACUGGUCCGAUUUUCCCCUGGAUUCCAGUUCCUACUUGUUCAACGUUUCGACCACAUUUGUACAAAUUGAUGAGAAUCACGUCAUUGGUCGUGUCAAGGGUGACCAUAAAAAUCAGUGGAUGACCCAUACAAUUUUCUACAACCGAGAAACAUCUUUCCUUAAGAGGUCGUCCAUUCCCCCGAAUUUCCAGAUUUUGCAAUCUCUCACACCCCGACUUACAGUCAAAUUGGCGAAUGUAACAUUUUCCGAGAAGGUUACGCUGUUGAACGUUGAAUUUGAUGGAACUGACCGGAUUUUGAAUAAGGCAGAUGCCGAGAUAUCCACGUCGGUUUCACAUGGCGCGUCCAAAUCAGAGGGAAGUGGUACAGACGACUCGACAACAAUUAGCAUCAACAUUGGAGGAGACAAUUUUUCCUUUUCGACCACAACGGGAUCGUCAACUGACGAGGAUGAAAGUGCAGAUGUGGACGUCACUCGCGACAUCAGCGUCCCUCCGAUGACCUCGAUUGAAUCUUGCUCAAUUAUGUCGAUGCCCAAAUUGGAAGUAACUUAUGAGGCAGACGCGACUUUCUCUGCGGCCGGUUUGGAUGGGAAGACAGUUCAUCAAAUUUUAUUACUGGAAGAACAUCCUGCUGAAAAAGACUCGCAUAUUUAUGGAAACUCUGUCACUUCCCGUAUUUCUGGAGAAGUUGGUGGCAUACUGGGCAAGGUCACGUCUUUGUUUAUAGUCAAUCCUGUAACGGCAUAUACAGUGACGGGGUGCAACGGGCAAAAAUCAAGAAUUGAGAUGGAACGAAGAAACAGACUUAAGUCUGAAAUUGCAAAGGGCUCAUUGAUGCAGGAGGAUUUAGUCCGACUAAUGUCGUCAGGACAUAUCGAUGUUGGAGAUGAAAUGAGUUUGAUGAUGAUUGAAAAAUAAAUUUGAACUUAAAACUGCUUCAGCUAAAUUCAGCGAAUUUUUAGUUUGGUGGGAAUUUCAAGAGUCCAGAGUUAAUUACAUGUCCAGAAAAUAUAUAGUUCACGUAUUGUGAUCUCAGAGUUUGGAGGUGGAGACUUAGUGUUUCUCACGGGUUCGGGUCCUUACUUCGGGUUUCGGGUUCGGGUUCGGGUUCUGCUUCGGAUACGAAAUUUAAGAACCCGAAACUUUCGGGUUCGGGUUCGGGUCCGAAAAAUGUCAUGUCAAAAUUUCGGGUUCGGGUCGGGUUCGGGUACGGAUUAAGAACCCGAAACCCGAAUCAAACCUUUUUGGAUCGAUAUCACAAAAAGAUAUUAGAAACAUUGUUGAACUACAUGUGCUUCAGCGGUUGCAAUACUGAAGUAAGUAAUUCCAAUUUCUAGUUGUCUUAAAUUCGUUUAAUUUCAAUGGUUUCCAAACAGGUAAACGAUUUACAAGAGCCUGAUUCAAUUAGUGUUAUGGUGCGAACUAUUAAAGAAAUCGACUUUUUAUCCUAAUUUUGCUAUGCAAUUACCUGAAUCAUACCUAAUUACAUAAGUAAUAAUAUUGGAAACGUCAAACUGGAAACAAUUAUCCAAUUUUGAACUGAUUUUCAAAUUUCUAAAGGUCUCGGAAAGCCACUCUGGGGCAGUUUUUGAAAUAUUAUAAAUAUUGUUGAUUUUUAAGCUUUUAAAUAAUUUUUAAGUACAAAUUCAGCCCAUGCCUGAAAAUUAAAAAUAUUUUCGGGUUUUCGGGUUCGGGUUUCGGAUUUGAACCCCCAGUUCGGGUUCGGGUUCGGGUCCCUGGAAACGGGUACGGGUUCUUCGGGUUCGGGUUGGCCUCGGGUUUCGGAUCAGUGGUACCGGGUUCGGGUUCGGGUUUCGGAUUUGCAAGAACCCGACCCGUGAGAAACACUAAGGUGGAGAUGAGUAUCAUAAAUCAAAGUAAUUUGCAUGAGUAUGACGAUAUGCAAAUAUUUAUUCACCUUAGUGUUUAAACCUAGUCUACCGGAAGAAAUGACAGUAUCGAUCAGUUUUUGAAUCUGUUAAGAUAAUAUAUAUGUGUAGGUACAUAGUACAUAUAUAAAUACAUACUAUAGAUACCGUUUGAUUUAGUUAGUAUUGCGGUGCAUUGAAGUAAACGGGACAGAAUUUCUACGCGCCAAAAUCACGUGCCUACUUGAUUAACAUUGGAGGCGGGCUGAAAUUCAAAUCAAAUUUCUAUGAAGCAUUAGGCACCAACGAUUUAGCUGGACUACGCUGCAUUAAAAGUUGAGCCGAGCACACUCAGAUUUUGGUUCGUUUUUCUACAACAGGUACACAAAAUUGUAAAACCAUACAAAUUCCGUUAUACAUAAGAGUUAUAAAUAACUAAAGUCGGUACUUUUUUAGGAUUGAAUUAGAUUAUACUGGGAUUUAUUUAUUUAUUCCGAAAACUAAAAUUCAUUUUUGUAAUCAUUUUGCUAAUUGGAGCAUGCCGAUUUUAUUUUAUAAAGCUUAAGGACCAUUAAAAUUCCAAUUAAAGCCGCAUUGAUGCUUUUAUUGGACAAAACCGCAAAGUGAAUGUAAACCAUUAACACGAUACUGGUGACAGGUUCAACGUUGAAUUUUUAAAGUUUACCUUUCGAAAUUAACCAUGAUCAAAAAUUUCUUCAUAAUUUUCUUCGUGUAUUUUGUGCAGCAUGAAACCACCUCUUUUCGUCUCGAAGAGGCCAUUACGUCAAUAAAUGUUGACAUUUUGAAGUAUGGGAUUGCCUGCAAGUUGGAAUGGGUUAACCACGCGAGAGGAAAGCAACUACCCUCGAACGUCAUUUAUAUUUCCUCCUCUACUUCUGGAUUCACAAUUGACCAAACGCAAACCUAUGAGAAGAUCGCGAUAGUGCGAACACCGCUAUUUGGUAAAGCAACUUCCGGUAUCCUUAAAAAUGAUGGAAUCGCCUACUUUUACUCGGAUAAGGAAGGUUCCACGAUACAGAAGAAUAAGUACGCGGUGCUAACAAAUCCAAACAACUGUUUCCUGGACUGGUCCGAUUUUCCCGUGGAUUCCACUUCCUACUUAUUCAACGUUUCGACCACAUUUGUACAACUUGACGAGAAUCAUGUCAUCGGUCGUGCCAAGGAUGAUCAGAAAAAUCAGUGGGUGACCCAUAAAAUUUCCUACAACCGGGAAACAGCUUCCCUUAAGACGUCUUCCAUUUCGCUAAAUUUAAGGAUUUUGCAAUCCUUGACACCCCGACUUACUGUCAAAUUGUCGAACGUAACAUUUUCCGAGAGAGUUGCGCUUUUGAACGUUCAAUAUGGUGGAGAUGACACAAUUCUGAAUAAGGCCGACGUCGAGAUAUCCACUUCGGUUUCACAUAGCUCGUCUAAAUCAGAGGGGAGUGGUACGGACAACUCAGUAACUAUCGGCACGGGAGGCGGUUCCGGUACAACAACUGGAAGUAACACAGACAAGGAUGAAAAUGUGGACUUGGACGUUACUCGUGACAUCACCGUUCCCCCGUUGACCUCGGUUCAAUACUGCUCAGAUAUGGAUUUGCCGGAAUUGGAGAUACUUUAUGAGGCGGAUGCUACUUUCUCGGCGAUUGGUUUGGAUGGAAACUCGAUUCAAAAUAUUUUAGUGCUGGAGAAACAUCCUGCUAGUAAAAACGCGCAUGUUAAUGAAGACUCUGUCACUUCCCGUAUUUCUGGAGAAGUUGGUGGCAUAUUGGGCAAGGUCACGUCGACUUUUUCAGUUAAUCCUGUGAUGGCCUAUCAAUGGGGAGGGUGCCCCACAAUGAAGGCAAAAAUUGAUGCGGAACGCAAGAACAGGCUUAAGUUCGAAAUUGUGAAGGACGCAUUGACCCAGGAGGAUUUAGUACGAUUGAUUUCGAAAGGGUAUACUGGUUUUGGAAGUGAAAUAAGUUUCACGAUGAUUGAAGAAUAAAUUAACAUUUACUUGAAA